GGGUCUCAGGUCUCAGGACAACAAGCCAAGAAAGUGGCUGGGCGGGGGCAGCAUGGGAAGGGAGACCCAUGAACCCUGCAGGACAUCAGCGCCCCCCCCCCCCCUCCCAUCACUAGGGCUGUUGCUCUCAAUCUAUUCCAUUCUGUAACCUCCCAAUAAACAGGGACAAGUUCUGUGGAGGGCCUGUUGCUGCCUAUCUUGCCUAAAUAGAGGUGGGUGAAGCCCUGUGAAAUCUGGUCCAAAGUCCCAAGCUGAGAACCCAUGAACGAAGGCUGGCGACACGCAGCCCCGUGAAAAGUUGGAGGAUGGCGACCAGCGUGAGAGAGGAGUGAUUGAAAUGGUCACGCCGACGUCCAGACUUCCAAGGGUAUCUCAAUCACCAUUGCCUCAUGACUGCAUGGGGUUAUUUUCACUGGUGCAAAGCUCACAACGCAAUCGACUCCGCAAGAUGCAGGGAACAGAGAAUCGCUACAAGAAAGUUAUUGCCCCAGAUUAUCAGAAAUUAUAACAGACUGCCAAUCAAAAAGCCGCGUGGGACAACUGUGCAUUACCCUGGCCUCGCAGAUGGGGAGAGACAGCAGAGGCAGUAUUGCUAUGUAGCAAUCUACCAUCAAAUCAAGGAUGGAUAAUAAUGACCAAAUAGACACUGGAUAAAAACCUAGUCACAUACCAGAACUCCGUCUUGGAUAGCUGCCUAACGUAUUGUAUCUGCCUCUGACAAGUUCCUGUCCUUUUUUACACUUUGGUGCCACUUGUUAAUGCCACUACUAUAUUUUUAAAAGGUAUUUGAAAUGGGGGCAAAGAAGGAGAGAGAUUGCGAGGAGACAGAACAAGGUAAAAGAGGAGGAGAAAACAGGGAAAGGAAAGAGGGGGAGGGAUCAGAAAAAGAAAAGGAAAUAGUGGAGGAGAGGAAGCAAGUGUGAAAUAGAAGCUUCUCUGCCUCGCUGGUUAGUUUUGCUGGUGGCAGCAAGUUGUACUAAUUGCUAUUUUGGGAUUCCAGAGGCGUUGUUGUGAGGAGUGAAUUACUAUGCUGUAGAGAAGGAAGGUUUGUUGUUUAGACAAGUGAAACUGAAGGCUAUGUUUAGCUGAUAGAAAUUAAGUCCCUUCCAGGGCAGCUUGGUUUAGAGAAGAGGCUCUUAGGAGCUUUUUAAUGUCCCCUCUCUUGGUGAGGACAGGCUAACUACCUCUUUCCAAGGCUUCCUCCUUUUUAUCUUUUGUACAUGUAUGAUGUUGUUUUAUGCCACAAGAUCGCAAGUAACUACGCAUUUAAGAUCAUGACACACUUCAUCCACCUCUUUGUGAGACUUUGGUGUUUGCUGUGCAAUUCCUCUCCUGCUCCCUUCAGCCUGUUUAAAACCUUCUUCUCUGCCCUCUCUUUUUUAAAGCAAGGGCUGCUGACUGAGGUCAAAUCAGCAGGACUAGAUAAGGCAUUGAUUAUGGUAAAAUGUGCUACUCUCAAACCUGGCGAGGCUAAAUAAGAUAAAACAGUAUACAUGCACGUGCUUUGCUUCUUCUUUAUUGAAUUGUUCCGUUUUGUACGGUUUGACAAAGCCAUUUCAGAGACCAUCCAACAAAUAUUUAAAAACAGUGUUGUACUUUGAUAGUACCAGGACUGUGACAAUUUAAAUGAUACAAUUUGCCAGAAGCUGGGGAUAGGGGAUGGAUCACUUGAUGGUUAGCUGUUUUGUUCAUUUCCUCUGAAGCACCUGGCAUUAGCCAUUGUUGAAGACAGGAUACUGGGCUAGAUGAACCUCUGGUCUGACCCAGUAUGGGAGCUCUUAUGUUAAUGAGGGAGAUUUAAAAACAUAGCAUUGAGAGUCUAAAUAUGUCACCUGAAACACCUACAGUGAUUUCUUCAUCAGCAGAAAUUAAUCCGAAAUGAGGAAAUCUCCCUCAAAUAAGCAAGUAAAAAAAUUAUGUGAUGCUCAAGACAUAUGCACUGCUCACGCAAGAGGAAAUAUGAUCUUUACCUCAUCUUUAUUCCACUCAAAUUUUCUUCUACACUUCCUGUUGUCUUUGUCUUAAUUAAGGCCUAAUUCUGCAACCUGCAGGCAUGAGAGUAACUUUACUCACAUAGUCACAGGACUGCGCACAUGACGAACAUUACUCAUGUACUGAGGGUUUGCAGGAUUCAGUCUAUAAACUGUGUUCAGAAAUUCUCCCAUGACGGGUUUAGUGCUGAUGCAGCUCCACCAUAGGCAGAGGCAGCAUAGACUGGUCUCAGGUGUAUUUAACAACAUGGCCCCAACCUGUUUACGUGGUGCUAAAAGUUGUACUUGUCUAUCCAAUCUGUACUAGUGCUUGUUCAGAGUAGAUUCAAAACAAGACUUAUUUCAGGCUGCCUUUAUAUAUCAAAAUAGAAAAAAAAAUAUGCAGAUUGCAGAAAACCCAUUUCUGAAAGAUCUUUUACUGGUCUCCUUUCACUUGCCUGUAUUAUGUACUGGUAGCUUUGCAUUUAAAAGGCAUUAGAAUCCGUUAUUAUUAAAGAACUCAGUGGGAUGGUUAAUUCUGCCUUCCGCAACAUUUUAAAUAGGGAAAUUGUCAGAAUAAAGUCAUAUCCGUGGCCUAACCAGCUAGCAAUGUAAUACAAAUCUUUCUUGAGAUUUGCAAGCUAUUCAAAUCUAAUAAUGUGGCUCAGAAAUCAUUGAAAAAAGACAACCAGCUUUUUUAUUAAAUUUGGUUUUAAAGAACUUGUUCCUGGGAUGAGACUGUCUGAUUUCAGCCCAAAGCAAAUUUCAACAGCUCAUAUAUGAUAUGUUGAUGCUACCUCAAAAUAUGACUUCUUAAAUAUUAUUUUAAUAAAAACCAGGUAUAGCAUGCUAUUAAUUUACACAUCACAUUACAAAUACUACAUCUCAAUCCAGUAAAGGCAUAUACCCUCCCACUUAAGUCAACGGGCUUCCACAGUUGUAAGGGUCUGCACUUUGCAGGAUAGGGACACUAAGAAAAACAUACUCCCUAUCCAUAAAUAAAACAACACAAUGAAAUAUAAGAGAAGACACAGGGAAAGGCAUGGGUUAGUAAGCAGAGAAAGUUUAAUCAUAAAGUAAAAGUAGUAAUUAGGUGAGGAGUUAAUAAAAAGCAGUGUUGCCCACUUUCACAAUUUUAUCACAAGUCUCAUAAUAUUUGUUUUGUUUUUUUUUUUAAGGCCUCAGCUCCUGGAGUCAAAUGGUGCAGUAAGCAUCUUGGCUUUCAUUUAAAAUGAAAGUAGCUUUCUAGCCCCCAUGUUACGGAGAAAAGCUCGAAAACAUGACCUGAGUGAACCAAAGGCUCAGGAACCAUUUUUAAAUCUCAUUAUUUUUUAGGCCUACCUCAUGAUUUUUGAAUGUUUGAGGUUGGCAAUAGUGAAAAAAGAGCCAACAAGACAGGUACCGAUGACUCCCCCUUGUUUUUGUUUAUUAUUGUCUGUCUGUCACAUCUUUUUAGAUUGUAAGUCCUUUGGAGCAAAGGUUAUGUCUUUGGUGUUUAUAGAGCACCUAGCUUAGGGGGGUUCUGAGCUUCAUUGGGACUUUUGGAUACUACCUCAGUACCAAUAAAAAGCAAAAAUAAUUAAUAAUUAAAACAGUUUGGGAGGAGGAGGACAAGGGAAUGAUUAAUAUGAGAUAAAAAUGGAAAGACUCAUAGACCACCGAGAUGUUUUGCUAUAUUAAGACACAGUGUAAAAUAACUAAUAUAAAACUCGACAAUGUACAGUUAUAACUUGGAGACCUUGUAGAACUAGCUUUCUAACAGAGAAAGGGAUUCGUGACAUUAGAUGAUAUAGAAUACCCAGUAUUAUAGUAAUGGUAAGCAAAAUCUAAUUAUCCAAACUGGGACUAGGACAAUGGGGUUAACAAUCUUAUUCUUGUGAAAAGUGACAUGAGAUCUUUCAAGAGCAUCAGCGGUCACAAGCCUGAUUUUAUAUCUAAUCCAAGAUAUGCCACCUCCAACAGUCCAGUCCCCACACUAAUACUAUGCUUGGCUUUUGGCUCAGAAUUAGCUCAGAGAGAAGAGGGCCACUUCCCAAAUCACAGACAUCACACUUGCAACUGAAGUUUGCAUUCUUUCAUGGGUUUUCCUUGGAAGUCGCAAUGUAAUUUUUUUUAAUUUGGCUGUUGUCAAUGGAGCCAGCUGAAGAUCUGGCCGAUAAUCUAACAACUGCAUUUUGAGGAUAGACAUGCAUUCCUUCCAGAUGUGAUGCACUUUUAGAAGGUGUCCUGAUCAUGAGACAAAUUGUUUUUAAAAUUAUUUUUACCCAUUAUAUUUAGGGUCUCCUUUACUGUCAACAAUUUAAAGGUGGAAUUCCAAAACAAGAAGUUAAUUUUGUCCAAACAAUUUUUUAAACACUAAAGGGAACUGAACUAAUGCCUGUUAUGAUACAGAAAUUGUUUUUGAAGUAUAGACAAGAUAUUCCUAUAACAAGCAUGGUAUUGCAUGUUUUAUAUUAACAAAUAGCAACACUAAGCAUUGAGCCAGAGGGAGGCGAAAUAACCAUAUUCUUCCUUUUUCCUCCCCCAGAUAAUCUCAUCUGUGUUGAUAUGCUGUUCUCUUUUCCUUCUGACAUCUCCCUUUCAACAAAAGGCUUGUUAGGAAAUUCACUGGUGCAGUUUCAAUUUCAUUGUUUUGAACCACUGUUCUAGAAACAUUUGGCUUGAUUCAUCAGCCAUCGUUUACAAGAUGUAAUCAUUCAGCUGCAGGGAAAUAUAGUGAAAGUGUAAUACGCACACUGCUGGUUCAAGUCACUGCUAGUGUAACUGGUCUAAAUCCCCAUAACUAUGGUUGAGGUGCAGGAAUGGAGUACCAGUAGGAAAGAAGGCAUGGGUUAUGCUGAUGGGGUGGUCCACCCUUUACAGCAGUUGCGCUAGGGUACUGGUGGUGUGAGGUGCCUAAUCUGAGUGUAUAAUGUAUUUUAUCUGUGUAAUGACCGCCUACUGAUACGGCGUCUAGGGAGUAUUGUGACUGGGAACAGCAGUAGGACACAGAGGGUGAGCCUGUGUAAGAUGAACCCCGCAGAUGACCCUGAUGCGUUUUUAUUAAAUUUUGAUAGAGCAGCAAUGGGAGCCAGAUGAGGUUAGGGAUCACGGGCCCUCUGAGUGGCACCCUACUUGUCAGGGGUCUGACCGAGGAACAGGCCCGGAACUAUGAUAGAGUAAAGACUGCUGUCCUAGACAGGGUUGACCUGUUGGAUGAAAAAUAUAGACAAAAAUUUCGGGCUAGAUGGACUGGAGGCAUGCAACAUAGGCAUUUGCACAAAAAUUGACAGACUGGGCAACCCAUUGGCUACAACCAGCUAUCUGAAGAACUGGGGAGGUAAUAGGCAUAAUAAUACUGGAGCAAUUCCUCCAGAGCCUCCCUGAAAGCACACACAUGUGGGUCCAAAGGCACUAGCCAGUGACUGGAGAAAGCAGUAAAACUGGCAGAGGAGUUUGUGGAUGCAGACUUUUCUAAGAAAGAAUUCCAGACCUUUCAGGGACUGGGCAUGAGGAAGGAGGAGGGUGAUUUGGCCACACACAGGAUACCUGAAAAGAAAAAGGAGGGAACGAGGGGGACUCCUUCAGAGAACCGGAGAGUGGUUUGCUUCUAGUGCCCAGUUAUGGAGUGUGGGUAUACUAGGUUUUAUGGGUGGACUAGAACUAUAGGAUUUGGGCAGAAAAAGAAAAAGCCUACCAUCCGGGUAAAAGUCGGGAGGAGGCACCAGAGGGGACGGAUGGACAUGGCUUCAGGCUGCACACUGGUCCAGCGGGGUUUGGUGAAGCCCCAUUGGGUGCUGCCAAGCGACAAGCUGAAAUUAGAAUGCACUCACAGCAAGAAGAGGCUUUGCCCAGUGGCAGGAAUACCCCUAGAUUCAAAGAGCGGUUUAAGGGGUGGUAGAUGGGCUGCCUCAUCCAGUCAUUUUUAAGACAGUUUACCCCCUUCCCUUAUUAGGGGAAAAUGAGGGUCAAGAGUCCCCCACAGCAGGAAGCAAGACCAGCAGGGAACGGGGCAAAGGAACUAAUCUAGGAAAACCAGAGAAACCAUGACCUUAAGAUACAAACCAGAAAGAAAAUGGGACCUACCUAGGGAAAGACGGUGUGGAAACACAGCCUAGUACAAGAGGCAGGGGAAAACAGUGCUCCUAGCUUGCAAGCAGAAAGCAGAUAGUUCUAGGGAACCUCAUCACCAGCACAGCGGGAGGAUGGAUCCCGGGACCAGUGUGUGGGGUGGGGGAACCAGAGCCCCAGUGGAGCAGAAAAGGGAGGCAAAGCGUUAGGCCCCACCCCAUACUUAAGGAGAAGGCAAAGGAAAUGGGGAAACAGGCUACCCAUGGUUGGGGACCUGUAGGCGGAAACAGAGUUAUCUAGGCAAACCUCACCACAAAGUGUGACUUCUGCAGGUGGAGCAUGGAUGCCACUCUGGGAGGCAAAUAUGAGCAUAAGGAGCCCAGCACCUCCUUUAAAGAAGGGAGGGCGCAGAGGAAGAGAGACUGGACAGUAGGCCAGGGGAGAGGUGUGUGACAGAGUGCAGGGAGUGAGUCAGUGAACCUGCACUCUGAUCACUUGGAGGCUAAUUAGUGCCCCAGGUGAAGCUGAUUGGGGGUAAUGAUGUAAUCAGGCUGGGUGAGGUAGGAACUCCGUUGGGCCUACUGACUGAUAAAAGAGGCACAGGAAGGAAGUGCAGUGGGGAGAAAGAGGAACAGGAUUAGCCACACAGAGAGUUCAGAGUAGGGAGAUCUCUGUUCCCCUCAGAACCCAGCAAACACUGUAAAUAGAAUGGUAGCCCACAUCCUUUGUCUGAGAAUCAAUGUUAUCAGAAGAUAAGCAAGAAGAAAAUGGUUGUUGCCUUUUGACAUCUGACAAUGAAAAUCAUGCUAAAAUGGAGCAAACGGGAUACCAGCAAUGGUUUGGAGUGACCAGAAGGAGACGUUGGAGGGUGUUUGUCAAAAGCCAGGCUGUCAGAGCAGGAACGCCUUUCGCGAUGGUUUCACUAUAAGAGAUUGCCCCGGUCAUUCGGAGAUGUAUACUUUUUUAAAAAUAGGAGCGAUUACCAAGAAGGUCACUGAAAUUACUCACUUUUAUGGUGCCUCCUUUUGUUGCAGCACUUAGGUCUAUUAUGCAAAACCACAAUUGAUGAAAUGUAAAUGCCUGUGAGAUAAUUCACCAAAAGACACAAACCUGCAACUCAUCACUGAACUCAUUAUCAUUCCUAUUCAUGGGCAAUCUCACAAGACCAGACAUUAUUACCACUGCUCUGCUUACACUCCUACUGGACACUAUUCCUUUUCUCUCCUCCCUCCCACAGAAGGAGAAGGAGGGGAAGAGAAGUAAAUAUGAUUUACUUCUGAUGUAAAUACAAAAGUUCAUAUAAAGCUAGUGUUUUGCUUUCAUGUCAGAUAUUAUUCUGCAGCCAUAGUUAAGCUGUGAAUAAUACGGAUUGCCUCUAGGGUAAUAUUUGAAAGAGCAGGGAUUCAGUUUGUGUACUCUGCACAUGAAAGACACGGAAAUGUUCAUAUCACUAAAAUCCCUGCCAUCUACCCAAUUUCCUCCCAACUUGUUUUGUUGCGUGCAGAGGGUCUGUGCUUACUGAAGCAAACGAGUUUAGUGCAAGGACAAUCAUUCUGUUUCGCUCAGGGCUAUUGCAUUAACAAGACAUAACAUUGAAGUCGUCUUCUUCUUUUUUUUUUUUUU